rnacentral:rRNA from 1 species
GAUGAACGCUGGCGGCGUGCCUAAUACAUGCAAGUCGAGCGAACAGACGAGGAGCUUGCUCCUCUGACGUUAGCGGCGGACGGGUGAGUAACACGUGUAUAACCUACCUAUAAGACUGGGAUAACUUCGGGAAACCGGAGCUAAUACCGGAUAAUAUAUUGAACCGCAUGGUUCAAUAGUGAAAGACGGUUUUGCUGUCACUUAUAGAUGGAUCCGCGCCGCAUUAGCUAGUUGGUAAGGUAAAGGCUUACCAAGGCAACGAUGCGUAGCCGACCUGAGAGGGUGAUCGGCCACACUGGAACUGAGACACGGUCCAGACUCCUACGGGAGGCAGCAGUAGGGAAUCUUCCGCAAUGGGCGAAAGCCUGACGGAGCAACGCCGCGUGAGUGAUGAAGGUCUUCGGAUCGUAAAACUCUGUUAUUAGGGAAGAACAAAUGUGUAAGUAACUAUGCCCGUCUUGACGGUACCUAAUCAGAAAGCCACGGCUAACUACGUG